AUUAAAGUGCCUGAAUAAAGGAUUAUUCUGAUAGAAUACAUCAUGUAAUAAAAUAUUACCUUUAAUA
rnacentral:tRNA from 1 species